rnacentral:lncRNA from 1 species
GUGGAUCAGUAAGUCAAAUAAACCCAAUGGUGGAUCAGUAAAGUCAAAUAAACCAGGAUGGUGGAUCAUAAAGUCAAAUAAACCAGGAUGGUGGAUCAGUAAAGUCAAAUAAACCCGAUGGUGGAUCAGUAAGUCAAAUAAACCCAAUGGUGGAUCAGUAAGUCAAAUAAACCCAAUGGUGGAUCAGUAAGUCAAAUAAACCAGGAUGGUGGAUCAGUAAGUCGUCAGAUAACCCCUUUCCUCCCCAAGUUGCUUUUGGCCAGAGUUUUAUCACAGCUACAGAAGGCACACAGGGCACACAGGGUGUGG